rnacentral:rRNA from 1 species
AUAUAGGUCAAGCUACAAAGGGCGCAUGGUGAAUGCCUUGGCAUCAGGAGCCGAUGAAGGACGUGAUAAGCUGCGAUAAGCUUCGGGUAGGCGCACAUAGCCUGAGAUCCGAAGAUCUCCGAAUGAGGAAACUCACAUGGGAAACCCCAUGUAUCAUUAAGUGAAUACAUAGCUUAAUGAAGGUAACCCAGGGAACUGAAACAUCUAAGUACCUGGAGGAAGAGAAAGAAAAAUCGAUUUUCUUAGUAGCGGCGAGCGAAAGGGAAAGAGCCCAAACCGGAAACUUGUUUCCGGGGUUGUGGACAUAGCAUAAAAGUGGAGGCUAUUGUAACUGAAGAGAACUGGAAAGUUCCACCGUAGAAGGUAAUAGUCCUGUAAGUGAAACGAGAAGACCACGAGUUAUGAUCCAGAGUACCACGAGACACGUGAAACCUUGUGGGAAGCAGGGAGGACCACCUCCCAAGGCUAAAUACUACCUGAUGACCGAUAGUGAAGCAGUACCGUGAGGGAAAGGUGAAAAGAACCCCGGGAGGGGAGUGAAAUAGAACCUGAAACCGUGUGCCUACAACCGCUCAGAGCCCCUUAUGAGGGUGAUGAGGUGCUUUUUGUAGAACGAGCCAACGAGUUACGGUAUGUAGCAAGGUUAAGUACUUAAGGUACGGAGCCGAAGGGAAACCGAGUCUGAAUAGGGCGACUAGUUGCAUGCCGUAGACCCGAAACCGGGUGACCUAUCCAUGGCCAGGUUGAAGCGAGGGUAAAACCUCGUGGAGGACCGAACCACGUUGCUGUUGAAAAAGCAUGGGAUGAGCUGUGGAUAGCGGAGAAAUUCCAAUCGAACCCGGAGAUAGCUGGUUCUCUCCGAAAUAGCUUUAGGGCUAGCGUCGAGUAUGAGUAGUGGAGGUAGAGCACUGAAUGGGCUAGGGGGCAUAGCGCUUACCGAACCUUAUCAAACUCCGAAUGCCACAUACUUUGAGCUCGGCAGUCAGACUACGAAUGAUAAGAUCCGUGGUCAAAAGGGAAACAGCCCAGAUCGUCAGCUAAGGUCCCAAAGUGUAAGUUAAGUGGGAAAGGAUGUGAGAUUUCUAAGACAACUAGGAUGUUGGCUUAGAAGCAGCCAUUCAUUAAAAGAGUGCGUAAUAGCUCACUAGUCGAGAGAUCUUGCGCCGAAAAUGUAACGGGGCUAAACUUACCACCGAAGCUACGGGCUUGAACUUAGUUCAAGCGGUAGGAGAGCGUCGUAACCGGGCUGAAGUCGUACCGUAAGGAGCGGUGGACUGGUUACGAGUGAGAAUGUUGGCAUCAGUAGCGAGAUGUGGGUGAGAAUCCCACAGGCCGAAAACCUAAGGUUUCCUCAGGAAGGUUCGUCCGCUGAGGGUUAGUCGGGACCUAAGCCGAGGCCGAAAGGCGUAGGUGAUGGACAACUGGUUGAUAUUCCAGUACCACUACCAUCGUUAUUAUCGAUGGCGUGACGCAGGAGGAUAGUGUGUGCUAGCUAUUGGAUGCUAGUCUAAGCGUUUAGGCAGUGAGAGUAGGCAAAUCCGCUCUCAUAAUGCUGAGGCGUGAUGGGGAAGGUUCUACGGAACCGAAGUACAUGAUUCCACGCUGCCAAGAAAAGCGUCUAGAGAGAGAAGUAGUGCCCGUACCGCAAACCGACACAGGUAGGUGAGGAGAGAAUCCUAAGGCCGGCGGAAGAAUUACAGUUAAGGAACUCGGCAAAUUGACCCCGUAAGUUCGCGAGAAGGGGUGCCUACGAGAGUAGGCCGCAGAGAAUAGGCCCAAGCAACUGUUUAGCAAAAACACAGGUCUCUGCUAAAGCGUAAGCUGAUGUAUAGGGGCUGACGCCUGCCCGGUGCUGGAAGGUUAAGGGGAACACUUAGCGCAAGCGAAGGUGUGAACUUAAGCCCCAGUAAACGGCGGCCGUAACUAUAACGGUCCUAAGGUAGCGAAAUUCCUUGUCAGGUAAGUUCUGACCCGCACGAAUGGCGUAAUGACUUGGGCACUGUCUCAACUGUAAAUCCGGCGAAGUUGUAGUGCGAGUGAAGAUGCUCGCUACCCGCGAUUGGACGGAAAGACCCCGUAGAGCUUUACUGUAGCUUAGCAUUGAGUUUUGGUAUUGUCUGUACAGGAUAGGUGGGAGACUAGGAAACCAGGGCGUCAGCCUUGGUGGAGUCAACCUUGGGAUACCACCCUGACAGUACUGAAAUUCUAACUGGCGGCCAUGAAUCUGGUCACAGGACAUUGUUAGGUGGGCAGUUUGACUGGGGCGGUCGCCUCCUAAAAAGUAACGGAGGCGCCCAAAGGUUCCCUCAGAACGGUCGGAAAUCGUUCGAAGAGUGCAAAGGCAGAAGGGAGCCUGACUGCGACACCCACAAGUGGAGCAGGGACGAAAGUCGGGCUUAGUGAUCCGGUGGUACCUCGUGGGAGGGCCAUCGCUCAACGGAUAAAAGCUACCUCGGGGAUAACAGGCUGAUCUCCCCCAAGAGUCCACAUCGACGGGGAGGUUUGGCACCUCGAUGUCGGCUCGUCGCAUCCUGGGGCUGAAGUAGGUCCCAAGGGUUGGGCUGUUCGCCCAUUAAAGCGGCACGCGAGCUGGGUUCAGAACGUCGUGAGACAGUUCGGUCCCUAUCUGUCGCGGGCGUAGGAAAUUUGAGAGGAGCUGUCCUUAGUACGAGAGGACCGGGAUGGACUGACCUCUGGUGUACCAGUUGUUCCGCCAGGAGCACAGCUGGGUAGCUAAGUCGGGAAUGGAUAAACGCUGAAAGCAUCUAAGCGUGAAGCCAACCUCAAGAUUAGAUUUCCCAUAGCGUAAGCUAGUAAGAUCCCUUGAAGAACACAAGGUUGAUAGGUCGGGGGUGUAAGCAUGGUAACAUGUUCAGCUGACCGAUACUAAUAGAUCGAGGGCUUGACCAAAU